rnacentral:tRNA from 1 species
CCUCCGGUAGCUUAGUCUGGUAGAGCGCUGGGCUGUAGACCCAGAGAUCGCUAGUUCGAACUGUUGAUAUAGACUUUAUCAGCAAGGAAUUCCGGCCCGGAGGACCA